GCGUUGAUGGUGUAAUGGUUAGCAUUGCUGCCUUCCAAGCAGUAAGAUCUGGGUUCGAUUCCCGGUCAACGCA
rnacentral:tRNA from 1 species